CAAAAGGCUCUUUUCAGAGCCACCUACCGUCUCAGAAAAAGGCUGU
rfam:Homo sapiens chromosome 6, GRCh38 reference primary assembly.